UACGAAGGGGGCUAGCGUUGCUCGGAAUCACUGGGCGUAAAGCGCACGUAGGCGGCUUUCUAAGUCAGGGGUGAAAUCCUGGAGCUCAACUCCAGAACUGCCUUUGAUACUGGAGAGCUUGAGUCUGGAAGAGGUGAGUGGAACUCCGAGUGUAGAGGUGAAAUUCGUAGAUAUUCGGAAGAACACCAGUGGCGAAGGCGGCUCACUGGUCCGGUACUGACGCUGAUGUGCGAAAGCGUGGGGAGCAAACAGG
rnacentral:rRNA from 1 species